UACGGAGGGUGCGAGCGUUGUCCGGAAUCACUGGGCGUACAGGGCGCGUAGGUGGCUUUUCAAGCGCGCGGUGAAAGUCCAGGGCUCAACCCUGGGAUGCCGGUGGAUACUGUCGGGCUCGAGUCCGGAAGAGGCGAGUGGAAUUCCUGGUGUAGCGGUGAAAUGCGCAGAUAUCAGGAGGAACACCAAUGGCGAAGGCAGCUCGCUGGGACGUGACUGACGCUGAGACGCGAAAGCGUGGGGAGCAAACAGG
rnacentral:rRNA from 1 species